rnacentral:rRNA from 1 species
ACAGAGGUGGCAAGCGUUGUUCGGAAUUACUGGGCGUAAAGCGUGCGCAGGCGGCUUCUCAAGUCAGUGGUGAAAGCCCGGAGCUCAACUCCGGAAUUGCCAUUGAAACUGUGGAGCUUGAGGACGAGAGAGGUGAGUGGAAUUCCCAGUGUAGAGGUGAAAUUCGUAGAUAUUGGGAAGAACACCGGUGGCGAAGGCGGCUCACUGGCUCGUAACUGACGCUCAGGCGCGACAGCGUGGGGAUCAAACAGGA